rnacentral:rRNA from 1 species
CCUACGGGAGGCAGCAGUGGGGAAUAUUGGGCAAUGGUCGCAAGACUGAACCAGCAAAGCCGCGUGAGGGAGGAAGGCUCUCGGGUUGGUAACUUCUUUUGGCAGGGACGAAGCAAGUGACGGUACCUGACGAAUAAGCCACGGCUAACUACGUGCCAGCAGCCGCGGUAAUACGUAGGUGGCAAGCGUUAUCCGGAUUUACUGGGUGUAAAGGGCGUGUAGGCGGGGAAGGAAGUCAGAUGUGAAAACCACGGGAGCAACCUGUGGCCUGCAGUUGAAACUGUCUGUCUUGAGUGCUGGAGAGGCAAUCGGAAUGCGGGGUGUAGCGGUGAAAUGCGUAGAUAUCCGGAGGAACACCAGUGGCGAAGGCGGAUUGCUGGACAGUAACUGACGCUGAGGCGCGAAAGCGUGGGGAUCAAACAGGAUUAGAUACCCCUGUAGUC